GAACGGGUGAGUAACACGUGGGUGAUCUGCCCUGCACUUUGGGAUAAGCCUGGGAAACUGGGUCUAAUACCGAAUAGGACCACGCGCUUCAUGGUGUGUGGUGGAAAGCUUUUGCGGUGUGGGAUGGGCCCGCGGCCUAUCAGCUUGUUGGUGGGGUAAUGGCCUACCAAGGCGACGACGGGUAGCCGGCCUGAGAGGGUGACCGGCCACACUGGGACUGAGAUACGGCCCAGACUCCUACGGGAGGCAGCAGUGGGGAAUAUUGCACAAUGGGCGCAAGCCUGAUGCAGCGACGCCGCGUGAGGGAUGACGGCCUUCGGGUUGUAAACCUCUUUCAAUAGGGACGAAGCGCAAGUGACGGUACCUAUAGAAGAAGCACCGGCCAACUACGUGCCAGCAGCCGCGGUAAUACGUAGGGUGCGAGCGUUGUCCGGAAUUACUGGGCGUAAAGAGCUCGUAGGUGGUUUGUCGCGUUGUUCGUGAAAACUCACAGCUUAACUGUGGGCGUGCGGGCGAUACGGGCAGACUAGAGUACUGCAGGGGAGACUGGAAUUCCUGGUGUAGCGGUGGAAUGCGCAGAUAUCAGGAGGAACACCGGUGGCGAAGGCGGGUCUCUGGGCAGUAACUGACGCUGAGGAGCGAAAGCGUGGGGAGCGAACAGGAUUAGAUACCCUGGUAGUCCACGCCGUANACGGUGGGUACUAGGUGUGGGUUCCUUCCUUGGGAUCCGUGCCGUAGCUAACGCAUUAAGUACCCCGCCUGGGGAGU
rnacentral:rRNA from 1 species